GGCGCAUCGCGCUGUGCGUUGGGAGUUAUCUCGUGAGGCCCGUCAUCCGACAUUCGCGCCUGCCCGGUGCGUGUCUUCGGCUUGGAGCCCACAGCGUUGAGUGGGAGCGUUUGCAGACAUCCACGAGCCCAGUUCCUCGCUCCCCUACCCCUCCUGGCGGGGUGCGUCUCCACGCCCCUGAGCCCUCAGGGCCCCCAGGCUCCAGCUUUACUGGGAGGUGGUAGAGGGAUAUCCCAAGAAAAAGACCACGACCCAGGAGAAGACACCUGCCCUGAGACCUUCCCCCAAAGCUUGAGGGCAGCCCCAGCACCUGGCAUUGCUGGUGCGGCGAUUCCAGCCUGGCUGGGCAGAGACUACUGCAGUGGAGGAAACAGCGAGGAAGGAGUUGUCCAUGGAGGACUCGUCUCUUAUGCUUGAGGACAGAGCUGGUCUUCCUCAAGACAACAGUAUAGAGGAGGAGGAGGAGGAGGACGAAGGAACGACUUCUGGAUUCUGCUCUGCCCGGGUUCAGGUGAGUUCAUGUUUACUCUCUCCCGUCAUUU
rnacentral:lncRNA from 1 species